CCUCCUUUGUUCCUCCUUGGGGCAUCUUGGGCAAUGGGCGCAAGCCUGACCCAGCAACGCCGCGUGAAGGAAGAAGGCUUUCGGGUUGUAAACUUCUUUUCUCAGGGACGAAGCAAGUGACGGUACCUGAGGAAUAAGCCACGGCUAACUACGUGCCAGCAGCCGCGGUAAUACGUAGGUGGCAAGCGUUAUCCGGAUUUACUGGGUGUAAAGGGCGUGUAGGCGGGAAAGCAAGUCAGAUGUGAAAACCAUGGGCUCAACCUGUGGCCUGCAUUUGAAACUGUUUUUCUUGAGUACUGGAGAGGCAGACGGAAUUCCUGGUGUAGCGGUAAAAUGCGUAGAUAUUAGGAGGAACACCAGUGGCGAAGGCGGUCUGCUGGACAGCAACUGACGCUGAGGCGCGAAAGCGUGGGGAGCAAACAGGAUUAGAUACCCUAGUAGUC
rnacentral:rRNA from 1 species